rnacentral:rRNA from 1 species
GAUGAACGCUGACAGAAUGCUUAACACAUGCAAGUCAACUUGAAUUUGGGUUUUUUAACUUAGAUUUGGGUGGCGGACGGGUGAGUAACGCGUAAAGAACUUGCCUCACAGCUAGGGACAACAUUUGGAAACGAAUGCUAAUACCUGAUAUUAUGAUUAUAAGGCAUCUUAGAAUUAUGAAAGCUAUAUGCGCUGUGAGAGAGCUUUGCGUCCCAUUAGCUAGUUGGAGAGGUAACGGCUCACCAAGGCGAUGAUGGGUAGCCGGCCUGAGAGGGUGAACGGCCAAAAGGGGACUGAGACACGGCCCUUACUCCUACGGGAGGCAGCAGUGGGGAAUAUUGGACAAUGGACCAAGAGUCUGAUCCAGAAAUUCUGUGUGCAAGAUGACGUUUUUCGGAAUGAAAAGUGCUUUCAGUUGGGAAGAAAAAAAUGACGGUACCAACAGAAGAAGUGACGGCUAAAUACGUG